UGCAAAGAGAGAACUGAGAGGAGAAAGGAAAAAAGAAGAAUUUUUUUUUCAAAGGAGUCCCAGGGGUUCAGGAUGCAUUUGAAAGGGGUACAGACUGAAGAUGAAUGACUACUCAUCUAGAAAGA